rnacentral:rRNA from 1 species
GACGAACGCUGGCGGCGUGCCUAAUACAUGCAAGUAGAACGCUGAAGGAGGAGCUUGCUUCUCCGGAUGAGUUGCGAACGGGUGAGUAACGCGUAGGUAACCUGCCUGGUAGCGGGGGAUAACUAUUGGAAACGAUAGCUAAUACCGCAUAAGAGUAGAUGUCGCAUGACAUUUGCUUAAAAGGUGCAACUGCACCACUACCAGAUGGACCUGCGUUGUAUUAGCUAGUUGGUGAGGUAACGGCUCACCAAGGCAACGAUACAUAGCCGACCUGAGAGGGGGAUCGGCCAAACUGGGACUGAGACACGGCCCAGACUCCUACGGGAGGCAGCAGUAGGGAAUCUUCGGCAAUGGACGGAAGUCUGACCGAGCAACGCCGCGUGAGUGAAGAAGGUUUUCGGAUCGUAAAGCUCUGUUGUAAGAGAAGAACGAGUGUGAGAGUGGAAAGUUCACACUGUGACGGUAUCUGACCAGAAAGGGACGGCUAACUACGUG